GACGAACGCUGGCGGCGUGCUUAACACAUGCAAGUCGACCGGAAAGGCCCUGCUUUUGUGGGGUGCUCGAGUGGCGAACGGGUGAGUAACCCGUUAGUAACCUGCCCUUGACUUUGGGAUAACUUCAGGAAACUGGGGCUAAUUACGGGUAGGAGCUUCUGCCUGCUUGUGGGGGUUGGAAAGUUUCGGCGGUCGGUGAUGUAAUCGCGGCUUAUCACCUUGUUGGUGGGGUAGUUGCGUACCAAGUCUUUGACGGGUAGCUGGCCUGAGAGGGUGACAGGCGACACUGGGACUGAGAGAGGCACCAGAAUCGUAUGUGGGGCAGAGGUGGGGAACAUUGCGCAAUAGGGGCAAGCGUGAGGCAGAAACGCCGCGUGCGGGAUAAUGGGAUUUGGGGGGUAAACAGCUUUUUAAUGUGACAAAGAGGGAGUGACGGUAAUGUGUAAAGAAGCACCGGCUAACUACGUG
rnacentral:rRNA from 1 species